AAAAAGGCACACUUGAAUUCUCCAAAAAGAAGGAAUAGGAUGAUUUUAAGAUUUUUUCACAGUCUUAAGAUACUUUCAUCAACACCUUCCUGUCCCGGUUUAGACCUGCAUUCUACAAGUGUGAUUCCACUCAAUGAAGAUUUCAUAACAAAACUUCAGCUUCCCACAGAGGCCACAGAAUCCUGAGGACAACCUGCAGGAAGCUGGGUCACUACUUUUUAUAAGUCAAAGCCUUCAAAUUUGACAAGACUUUUCAGCAUCUAAGAAUGUUUUGGUUUUCUGGGGCUUUUUAAACAAGAGAAUACCAGCCCCUACUGAUUCUUAAAGGAAAUAGUUCUAUGUGAAAAUUUCAACAAAAUCAAAUCUUUCUUUUCCCUUGUAACUUCCUCAAAUCCUGACAGAGAAUUUAGUUUACUUUAAAAAAAAUCUAGAAAUAUAACCUUUAAAUAUUCCCAGAUUAUGAACUUGUCUAUAAAUUUGCAGAAUUAUUAUGAUUAUUAAUUGUGCCAGUAAACAAAGAUUAUAAACAUUCUUACAAAAGUAAUUUUUUUAUUUGUAAAGUCCUGUUUUAUUC